AGGACAACAGUCGGUCUACCGAGCAAAAACACCCGCUCGGUAUAAGAUCUUCCCUUUGUCGU
rnacentral:pre_miRNA from 1 species